AGAACGAACGCUGGCGGCAUGCCUAACACAUGCAAGUCGAACGAGACCUUCGGGUCUAGUGGCGCACGGGUGCGUAACGCGUGGGAAUCUGCCCUUGGGUUCGGGAUAACAGUUGGAAACGACUGCUAAUACCGGAUAAUGACUUCGGUCCAAAGAUUUAUUGCCCAGGGAUGAGCCCGCGUAGGAUUAGCUAGUUGGUGAGGUAAAGGCUCACCAAGGCGACGAUCCUUAGCUGGUCUGAGAGGAUGAUCAGCCACCCUGGGACUGAGACACGGCCCAGACUCCUACGGGAGGCAGCAGUGGGGAAUAUUGGACAAUGGGCGAAAGCCUGAUCCAGCAAUGCCGCGUGAGUGAUGAAGGCCUUAGGGUUGUAAAGCUCUUAUACCCGGGAUGAUAAUGACAGUACCGGAGAAUAAGCCCCGGCUAACUCCGUGCCAGCAGCCGC
rnacentral:rRNA from 1 species